UACGUAGGUGGCAAGCGAUACUCGGAAUCACUAGGCGUAAAGCGCAGGUAGGCGGUUCAGUAAGUCUUUUGUGAAAGCUCCCGGCUCAACUGGGAGAGGCCAAGGGAAACUACUGGACUAGAGUGUGGUAGGGGAUACUGGAAUUCCUGGUGUAGCAGUGAAAUGCGUAGAUAUCAGGAGGAACACCGAUGGCGAAGGCAGGUCUCUGGGCUGACACUGACGCUCAUGCACGAAAGCGUGGGGAGCAAACAGG
rnacentral:rRNA from 1 species